rnacentral:rRNA from 1 species
ACCUGGGCUCAAAUGUAUGUUGACGUAUUCUGAAAGGGAUACUUCUUCGGACAAUAUACAAGGUGCUGCAUGGUUGUCGUCAGCUCGUGCCGUGAGGUGUCGGGUUAAGUCCCGCAACGAGCGCAACCCUUGUGUUUAGUUGCAAACAGGUCAAGCUGUGCACUCUAGACAGACUGCCGUGGACAACACGGAGGAAGGUGGGGAUGACGUCAAAUCAUCAUGCCCCUUAUGAUCUGGGCUACACACGUGCUACAAUGGCCGGUACAACGGGCAGCGAAGGAGCGAUCCGGAGCGAAUCCUAAAAAGCCGGUCCCAGUUCGGAUUGCAGGCUGAAACUCGCCUACAUGAAGUUGGAGUUGCUAGUAAUCGCGAAUCAGAAUGUCGCGGUGAAUGCGUUCCCGGGUCUU